UUUGUAAAAGAAAUAAAAUAAAAAAAUCCAGAUCUUAACCUUUUAAAACUGUUGUUAACUUUUGAUUUUCUGAUGUGCGUAAAAAAUUACAAAGAGAUACUGUGGUUUUUUAUAGCCAAAUUACAAAUGUUUCAUCUCUGUUUCAUUUGUCGUUUUCUAUUUGUUUUUCUGCUUUUGUCUUUUUUUUCUAUUUGGUCUUUUUUGUUGCGUGUUGCCUUAGUUUUGUAGGUGUCAGGUGCUGGAUGGUCGGUGAUUGACGAGCGGCAGUGGUGUGCGGCGAUGGGCGUGCGCUGGAGGCUACGGCGCUGGAGGCUGGCCCUGGCUAGGGUUUUUUCUUUUGCUUAAUUUUUUUAAAAAAUGUGGGCUGGUUAUUUUGGGCUUAGGGUUAAUGUGAUUUGGGCUAGACGUUGGGUUUUGGUCUAUUUGGGUUUGGGUUAUUUUAUUUGUAAUGGGCUGUUAACUCUUUUGGUUUAAUUUGG
rnacentral:lncRNA from 1 species